CUCUCUUUGCCUGCCACCAUCAGUGUAAGAUGUGACUUGCUUCUCCUUGUCUUCUGCCACGAUUGUGAGGCCUCCCCAACCACAUGGAACUCUUACUAGUGUCUGAUGAUGUGCCAUGUAGUGUUAUGGAUGCUGUGGAGGAAUACAACAUUCAUGGAAUUCACAUUCAUGGAACUCACAUUUAGUGGGAAAGAGAGCUAUGGGAAUUAAAUUUGGCCAUACUUUGGACUUAAAUACUGAAUGAAUGAAUGAAUGAAUGAAUGAAUACAAAGCAGACCAUGAUAAGAACUAGGAGAAAGAAUGAAGAGGUAAGAAUGAUUGAUUUUGGAAAUCCUUAUGGAAGAAGUGGCUCCUCAGUGGAGGAAGGGUAAAGAGCAGCAUUCUGUGCUGAGGGAUAAGCAUGAGCAAAGGGAAAGAAGGCUCUAAAGUGUGAAUGGUUGAGGGACAAGUGGUCAGCCAGCAAAACAGCUUAGGACCAGGUCUCCAACAGCAUGCUGAAAGGCAUUGACUUUAUUGUUUAGACAGUGUAGAACUAUCGUGGGUUAUUUAGGAAGAUUCUUCAGAAGUUGACAAUUAUAGCAGAUAAAACUUUUUUUUCGUUAAAGGAUAAUACCUUUUUACAGAGUAAAACUGAAGUGAUGUAGUUAAGUACAAAGUGCUGACACUAUUCUGAACAUUUUGCAUAUAUCAUCUCACUUAGUUAUCACCAUGCAGGGUAGAAAGUAGAUAGAAAUUGUCCCCGUUUUUCAGAUGAGAACUCAAAGAAGUAGAGCCCAGAAUUCAAACUAAGGUCUGCUGACUGCAAGGUCUGCACUUGCCGCUUCUUGUGCUGCUCCCUGCAGAGGUUUGACUUAGGUUAAUUAGCAUAUCAAGCAGCAUAAACUGAACUUUUAAUAUGCAUGUGGCUUUGGAAGACAGGAAAAAGCAACAGCAGAGCUAGCAUUACUGAUGGUACUUGUUUGUAGGGGCAGAGACCAGCCCCCAUCCUUUUGUCUUAUCUACCAUAGCAUAGCAACUAGGGGACAACCACAUGUGACAUUGGGCAGCUUUGACAAUGGCCAGGCAGUCCAGCCCAUGAGCCUGCUCUGUCCUUCCUUAGACAGGCACUAGCUUCCUGAGCCUGGGCAGCACCAUCGUAUCUGCAAAACUCAGACUCACAGUAUUGCCUCUCCGCAUCCACAGGCCUCAGCUUAUGCUAGUGCCCCUCUGUAUCACCUGUCCUAUGACUGCUGUCCCUGCUGCCUCUUGCCUCUGGAAUCCUCUGUUCCUCCUUGGUGCACCUAAAGCCCUUAAAUGUAGAACAGCUAUGACUAUUCAUUCACCGUGCUGUCCCUGGGCAGUGCUUUAGCAACAUUCGGUUUGCCUAUUUGUCCAUUCAUGAAUUCAUUUAUUAAGAAGCUGUACCAUGCAAUAGGAAGAGUACUGGGACAGAAUACCUGAGUACUAGACAAGCUGCUGACACCUUGGGCAGGCCACUUUCCUUCUACAGGCCUCCUUUUCUUUAUGGAUAAAAUAGGAGAAUUGAGUAAGAUAAUCUUUGAGGUCUCUACUAGCUCUCUCACUUUGAGGCUGUUUUGUUUAGCUGUAAAUUCACACCUUCAUCCUAACAUGGGGUUAGGGAAUGCUUCUUAGAAGAGAUGAUCCUUGAAGUGGGUCUUAACGGAUGAGUAUGAAGAAGAGAAAGGUAUUCCAGGGAAUAUGAUCAACAUGAACAAAAGUAUGGAGAAGGCAUGGCAAACUGGGGGAAAUGAGGGCCUCUGGAGGGGAGCAGAGCAGUGGGAGACAAGGCUACAGUGAUGGCUACGUUCAGAUCGUAAAAGCUUUAAUGUCAGGCUAAGGAACUAGAACUUCAUCCUGUGGGGUAAAGGUGCAGGAAAGGUUUUAAAGCAGAGAAAUGACUUGAUUUGAUCUAUUUUUAGAAGCUAGUACUGUUCAACAGAGAAACCUGGGAGGAAUGGCAGUGGUUUCAAUCUUGUGGCUUUGUAAGAUAUUAAUUUGGUAAGUUUUUGCUUUUUAGCGAGACAAGAUGCUACCGACCUAUUGGAUAGGGGAUGUCAUGAUUUACAGUCUGACUGUGGCUCUAGAAUCCCCAUCAGACUCCUUUAUCCAGAUUCUGCCCCAUUCUAGUUGGCAACUCCAGGCCUAGGCCAAAGCCAGCCCUUUUCUCUUCCCAUGACAACCAAGCCAAACAGCUGACUUAGGAAGCUCCACAGUGUAGCCCUUGCGGCACGCAUGCAUGUGUCAGUAGGUCCUCAUGUGUGCUCACUGCUUCAUAGUGUAUCAGGCUCUUUGACUCACCAACUCUUUUCAUUCUUACAGUAACUCUGAAGUUCUCAGAGAAAGUACAAUCCCUACUGUACAGUGGGGAAAUGGAAUCUCAGAAGGAUUGCAUGAUUUGCCCCAAGCAGCAUAAUGUAGUGUAAGGGGCAUGAGGCCUUGGAGUUGUUAAGUCAUGGGUUCCAUUUCCAGUUCUGCUGCUUAAUAUCUUGAUAUCUGACCACGGGCAAGAUUGCCACCCUCUCUAAACUGUGGGUUUCUCAUCCUUAAAGACUGAGAUAAUAAUAGCUUCUGUAUGUGUGUAUCAUUGGAGCGAAUUAUGUGGUUUAUGGAAAAGCUCUUGGCACAGAGUAGGUGCUCAGAAUGUCUGUUUCUGUUUCCUCUGACUCACUUCAGUGCUCUUUCUGGUGUUUCGCCUUGCUUCCCAUAUGGCCCUCUUUGUCAUCUCUCUUGCUCCUCUAUUCUUAAGUCAAUGCCACAGACAUGCAUUACUGGAAAUGUUCUUCCUGGGUACACAAUAUGAAGCUAAGCCUUGUGGAUGAAGUGAGAGGACAUAGGAAAUGGCCCUUUCCCUCACUGCUUGCUACCUGAUUAUUGUGGGUGUUAGGGUGGAGAGGGUUUAGCCUUCACUCUUGAAACAAAGCUGAGGUGAUCUGACCAUCUCAUGAUGAUCCCUUCUUGCUCCUCAGGGAACUUACUGUAUGCCAAGUGCCGGACUCAACUCUUACACUGUCUCACUAAGCUCUUACACACUGUUACAUCCACUGUGUGUGUAUCUUACAUACGCUUCUGUAUUCUUAACAUAUAACCCUGUUCUACAGAUGAGGAAAAUGAGGCUCAGAAAAGCUAAACCUAUUAAGAUCUUAAACUCAUAUUUGAUGAAACCAGGAUUUGAGCUAGGUUAUCUGAUUCUGGAGCAUGCACUCUUAAAUUAGAUUACCUUUUGUUUAUUACAAAAUAGUGUAUGUACAUAGUUUAAAAAUUUUCUAAAUACUAAAAGGCUUAGUAAUGGCAAUUUCUGCCUCACCUUUUCCCACUCUUUUGUCCAAUUUCCGGAGCCAACCAUUUUGAAUUAUUUUGGGGUGUCUAUCUCUAUAUUUCUAAACUAAAUGUCUAUUUAAGAUAUCAAUUUUAAAAUAAAUUUUAUCUGUUGCUUUCUUAUAAAUAAAAAUUUAAUUAUCUUAUACCACCACCUUCAUUUCCCUUCCCUCCAUCCUCACGUGUAGUUAAGUCAUUAGUCUAUUAUUAUGAGUAGUGUAAAUACUGUUCUCACUGCUAAGCCAAGUAAUAUAUCAUGAUAUGGUUCCUAUGCUAUACUUUUCUUUUCCUGGAGUUAAACUUGCCUGUUUAUUUUCCCCUUCCUUUAACUGACUUUCUAUAUACCAAUUACUAAUUGUUCCCAAAUGCCUCCAAAACAUCUAUAAAACACCUCUUACACGCUUUGCAACAUGGUCAAAGACGUCAACUCUUUCAGCAGUCUCCCCACCCCCACUUUCACCACAUGCCACUCUGGGGUUCAGCCUUUCUGUUCCACUCUGAAAUGGUUACUCUAGGCCUGCACCGUGGUUACGUGAUGACUUCUCUAUACCAUUUCCCUGUGUUAAAUCCCUGUUCCCUAUCUUCCUUCUUCUUUAGAUUAGUCUCAUUUUGGUGGGGCACAGGACUCAGUACCUUUCCCGGAAAAGAGGAGUUGAAGAUAAAUUUUUUGGUUCUUUGAAAUUCUGAAAAUAUACUUACUCUAUUUUCACAUUUGAUUGACACUUUCACUGUUUGUAGAAAUCUAGGUUGGCAAUUUUUUUCAUUCUGACUUUUGCAUGCAUUUCCCAUUGUCCUCUAGCAUCUAAUGUUACUAUUGAGAAGUCUGCUGCUUUUUCUAAUUCCUGUUUCUUUGUACGUUGCCAUUUUUUUUUCCUUGAAAUUCUUAGGAACUUCUCUUUACUUCAGUGUUUUGAAAUUUUAUGAUGACAUGCCUUGAUAUGUAUCUUCUUUAUUCAUUGUUCUGGUAUUUAUUGAGCCUUCUCAGUCCAGAGGCUUAGGCCUGCCAGUUCUGGGAAAUCUUUCUUGAAAUUGUUUUACAAUUUUUUCCUUAUUUUUCUUUGUUCUGUCUUUCAGGGACUUCUAUUGAAUGUAUAUUGAAUUUCCUGACUCCUAAUUUUCUUAUCUUUUCUUUCCUCUUGGGCAUGUUUUUACUUUUCUUACCACUUUGUGAGAAAAUUUUUUGACUUGAUCUUCCAACUUUUCUAAUGGAACUUUUAUUCAGCUAUUAUUUUUAAUUUCUAAGGUUCUUUCUUAUUUUUAAUCCUUUAAAAUAGUUUUCUGUUCUUGUUUAUAUUGCCAUAUCAUCUAUCAUUUUUCUAUGGAUAUUAAUUAUAGAGUUUAAACAAAUGUUUUCUUCUCUGCCUUGACUCUGUUUUUUUCCAAUUUUUAAUUUUCUAUUUCUUUGUUUUGGGUUCUGUCUUUCACACUGGAGACUGUGCUUUAUGUUUUUUGUUUGCCCUGUAGAUGCAUUAUCCACCUUUUUUCACACUCCAUAUAUCCCUAGGGAGGAUGGCCUCUCUAUGGCCUGCAUCAACUGGCCCUCUGGCUUCUGGUUGGGUUCAGCUAAUGAGAGGAACGGCAGAUCUCAGGACUGAAAAACAACGAGGUCAGGGUAUUUAUUCUCCUAGCUUCUCCCUGCUUACCUGCCAUGGCUGCAUCCCUCUAUCAGGGAUUCCAGUCUGGUGUCCCUCUCCUUAACUUCACCCUCUCCAAUUCACCCUCUCCAAGGGUAACCACUCCUUUCCCUUACUUCUUCAGGCUUAGAGGUGGUAGAGCUCUAGUUUUAUCUAGUAGUCCUGGAAUAUAAACAUUGUCCAUACCUCUGUAAAUGGUUCCUUUAUUAAACUCUCACCUGCUGUCCAGUUUGAUGUGGUCUUCUGCUGAGAUUCUAACUGAUACAGAGGUUUUCCUCUCUAAAGAUCUGAUGAUCUUUAGCUGGCUGUUUAUAUUGAAAAGAGAUACUACAUGAGACUCUGUGGGCAUGGGGAGGAUGCACUGGCUGCUGACUUCCUUGUAAGAUGUUUGGACUGAUGAGUUGGGGAAGCUUUUCCAUUGGUAAACUUCCAGAGAUCAAUAUUUAUGAACUUUUCCCCUAAUCUUCUGUCUUGGGGUGUAUAUGCUUAGUUGUUGACUUUCUGGAGCAGGAUGCCGGAAGGGGGCUGGGGGGAGUCCCAUCAUCCUUUACAUAGACUGUCACUUACUCACUUAACCCAUUUGUUUCAUUCUGAUCCUCACUCCCACCCUCUGAUGACUCUUCUUCCAGGUCCAGGGCUGCCCUGGGUCAGUUUCGCCAGAUAAUAAAUGUGUGGUGUUCGUUAGGUAUAGCAAGAGAUAGGUUGCCUAGUUAUGUGUGUUGGGGAGAAUCUGGGCAUCUAACUACCCCCCAUAAAUAUACUUUCAGGCAACGCCUCUGAUUUCAGCCCUAUCCUUACCCGACUUUCAAAGACACUUGGUGCUUCUCAGUCCUGAGGCUUUUCAUUGUCUUCCAAGACAAAAUUUGUUUCCUUCUCACUGUUCCCUGCAGCAGGCACAGGGUUUCAGCCUCCUCCACUCUGCAUAAUCAGUUACCUCCUUCAUCUGUGGUAUUCAUCUGAAAUGUGUUGAACUAUCUUGUUUCUUCUUCUAUUCCUCUUUUCUUGGUGGAUUCAUACUUUCUUUGUUCCUUUACAGUUGGCUUAAGAGGGUUUUGGAAGGAAAUAGAGAUAAAGGUGUGGGCUCAAUCUAUCCCGAUUAAUGGAAGUUCCUACUGCUCUUUGUAGGCCACAGCUGACAAGGAUAGAGAAAGUGGUCCCACAGUGGCCCUGAGAAUGUGAGGCAGGCUGGAAGUUGUGUGACUGCACAGUAUGACAGAAGGGAAGCCACUCAAAGCUGAAGCCUUGGCACCGUGGCCUUUGUAUUUGUGAGUUUUGUGAGUCUGUUCAUUUUAUUCGGGCAGCACCUCUGAGAUGAAUACUUCUUGUGAAGGAAAUUUACUAAGAUCAGCUGGGAACUUACUUGAAGAAGUUUUCACCAAAUGGCAUUACAUAGCAAGAAGGGGGAAAAAUAUGGGGAGCUCUUAGACAGAUGCUUUUUAAAAUUUUAAUUUUGCCAAAUGGCGAGGGUAGCCAAAGAAGACGUAUAUGCUUCUAGUCUGGGAGGGACUGCUUUUCAGAGCGGGGAGAAGCAAAAUCUUAGCUGAUCUAAUGUAAGAAGAACCCUGGGGUCAUAGAACCACAGACUUUCAUGGUGGAGGGGACUUUAGAAACAGCCUAAUCUUUACAGAAGAGGAAAUUAAGGCCUAAGUUUGGAAAUGAUUUGCCCUAAGUCACACAGCAAGUUAUGGGCUAUGUCCGGAACGGUCACCCACAAGUCCUAACUUCAGCUGGCACAUUACACCCCUCUGGAGAUAGAACGUCGGCAACUUUAGAGGUGAGCUCCAAAGGUCCCACCUUUGUCACUGUGACCUAGCAGUCCAUGGCCUCAGGAGCCCUUGACUUGGCUUGUUUCUGGGUAGUUUCUGCUACUCACCCAUACUGGAGAUAUUAUAUUCUCCAUUUCCCUAGGCUGCAUAGGUUUGUACCAAACCAGUGCUAUGCCAAAUUGUAGACCUGUUUAGACAUGUUUCCUUUCGUUUCAUUAUUUUUGGGGGCUCUGCCAAGGCUCACCAUAUGAACUCAAAUGUGAUUUAAGAAACAAAAAAAGAUAAUGACUUCAAUAGCUUGGCUUUUUAGGAAAGUUAAGGGGGAAGAAGAGUCCAGGAAGCCAACACACUGUGUGACCAACUGUCAAAUAUUUAUUGAACCAUAAUAACAGUAAUAGUUGACAUUAUUGAUCUAUGUGUGGUUUUACACAUUUUACAUACAUUAUUAAUUGAUUCUUUACAUCAACAGUAAGGUAGGUACUAUUAUUAUACCUGUUUCACAGAUGGGGAAACUAUGGCAGAGAGGGUAACUUGCUCAAGGAGGAGAACCUUGUCCUGGGUACUCUGCAGCUUAAGGACUUGGGUAUCUAAAGACACAGGUUCAUAAUUAGCAAUAUUCUCUCAAAUUAUUCAGUAACAGAUUGUUAAGAGCUGCAAAGGGGUCUCUUUUGGCUGCCAAAAGGCUCCAGCUGCAGCCUGUCUCCAUGAAGGCAUAGAAGGGGACCAUUUCACUUUUUCUGAAAACUGGGAAUUUAUUACACAAAGGAUGAUGAAUUCAGGAUCUAAAGGGUGGAAUAUGAAAAGAAGUCAACAAAGUAAUGUGUAAUUGGGAAUCAAUAUAAGAGAGGGCCUAGUGGUAGAAAUGGUAAGUCUUGGGUAUUGACUGAGUCAGCUUGCACUAGGGAGGCCAGAGCACAGGGGAGCCAGCCAUGGGCAGCAGAGAUAUUGACAGAGGGUAAAGGAUGAGCUUGUUAGUUAUAUUGCCUUUAAAUUGUCAGUGGGAUAGGCAGUGGGGUAGUCUGAAGACAUUCCUAUAAAAGAGGCCUAGAGAGGAAAUUUGUGGGUUAGGGGUGGGGAUGUGGUUUUCAGUAUCUUGCAUUACAGGACCACAUCUGUGCCCACACUGCAGAAUAACCUUUGUCCAUUCUAGAGAGAGCCUGCAAAGUACAGAUGACCAUGGUAUACUUGGGAAUGUUGGGUUUAUAGAAUUAAAGUGGGUUGGUGCUGGAAAGGAUCUCAGAAGCCAACUGUUCCCAAUCUUCAUCUGUAAGUGAAAUAUUCAAGUCUUAGAAGGGGCAGUGAUAUGUUUCAGUUGUGAGCCAGCCAGAGGACCUGCCCAGGCAGACUAAGAAAGCAGAUCUCCCACCACUCAGCCCAGGCCCCUUUGCUUCAAAUCGUGUCUCAGAGGGAGAACAGUAGUUCCCCUUAUCUGCAGUUGCACUUUCUACAGUUUCUGUUACCUGCAGUCAGCCACAGUCCGAAAAUACUCAAUGGAAAAUUCCAGAAAUAAUGCAAAAGUUUCACAUUUUGAGUAGCGUGAUGAAAUCUCAUGCCAUGUCACUCCAUCCCACCCAGAACAUGAAUCAUCUCUUUGUCCAGUGUGUCCAUGAUGUAUAUACUAUCCGCCUGUUACUGUAUAGGAAAAAAUAGCAAAUAUAUAUAGUUUGGUACUAUCUGAGAUUUCAGGCAUCCCUUGGGGGUCUUGGAACAUGUCCCCUGAAGAUAAGGGGGCACUACUGUAUUUAAAACUGUGACAGUUUCCAAAUCCAGUACUGACUGUCCCCUAGUGAAGAUGUCUUUUUAAUCUGGCUCCUUAAACUGUCCAGGUACCUUUGUUAAUCUUCAAUUUUAAAAUGAAAUUUAAAUUACCUUAAGUAAUUUACUCGCCCUCCAAGGGCUCCAAUAGCACAUCUAUAAAAUAAAGAUAAUACUCUGGCUCUCCUACUCCCCCGCUUUACUUUAUAUAGGCCUUCUGAGGUUGUAACAAGUACAAGUAUGGUUGGAAAAGAAAGAUAAUAAUUUUGUAUAAAAAGUAAGAAUAUUAUAGUUUUAAUAGUUUCAUUAUAAUUUUCAAAUGAAGUUGACGUGAUUUUGAGAGGGACACUAAGUCCAUGAAAGAAACUCAGCUCUGCUCCUUCCUAGCAAUGCAACGUUGAGUGAAUUAUAACCUCCUUGAACCUCAGUUUCCCUAUGUAGAUAAAGAAUGAAAAUGCUCAGAGCAACUAUGACAGUUAGACGGGAUAAUAUAUAUAAAGGACUGAGCUUAGUGCCUGAUGCUUGACAGAAGCAGUAAAUGCAGAUUUCUAUAGCUCCACAUCCUUGCCAGAACUUAGCAUGAUCCAGUUAUCAAUUUUUACCUGUCAAAGGUGAGAAACAAAAUGUUAUUCUACUAAAAUAAGAAUUUAGUUUUAGUUUCAAAGACAGAGUGUGUCAGUCCAGGUUCAACUAGAGAAACAGACCCAGAAGGAGAUGCAAAUUAAGAUAUUUUGGUGAGGAAAUGGCUUGUACAACUGUGGAGACUGGCUAGCAAGCUUGAAAUCCACAGGGCAAACUGUCAGGAAGGACAGGCAGUGGCAGCAGAAAUAGGAAGUACGGAAGAGAUUUGAAAGCCAUUGCUAGUCAGUAAUUAAGUGGCCUAAUAUGAAAAGGAUUGAGAAAGGAAGGGGAAGAAUGGGCAGGAUCAAGGAUGUGGUACCCUUUUCUCCUUGGUAGACUGGGUAGAUAUGUCAUCAUUGAGAAGAGAGAUGCCUGGAGAGAGGAAAGAAUAGGCUUUGGGCAAGGUAAUGAAUUUAUUUUUUAGCAUAGCUGAGUGUAAGAUGCCUGUGGAACACUAGGCAUCUUACCCAAACAGGACUACUUGGUAGAAGGUUGGAAUGAAAACUUUCAGCUCUGUAGAGAAGUCGGGGAGUUGGUUCUGUAGAGAAAGCUUAAUGAAGCAGAGCUACUUAAUUACAGUUUUUUUCUUUAUGUAUAUGUACACAGUGUUUGUGCUAAGUGGCCCUGCUAUAGGGUAUGGUGUUGUGAUAGCUUUAAUAAUGUUAUGUAAGUGUCACUAUUCUGUGAUUAUUUUUGCUGCUGCAAUAAUUUGGCCCAGGGCAAAGACUGCUUUCCUGGUCCUUUUUUUUUUUUUUUUUUUUUGAGACGGUGUCUCGCUCUGUCCCCCAGGCUGGAGUGCAGUGGUGUGAUCUUGGCUCACUGCAACCUCUGCCUCCCGAUUUCAAGCGGUUCCCCUGCCUCAGCUUCAGCCUCCCGAGUAGCUGGGACUACAGGUGUGCGCCACUGUGCCUGGCUAAAUUGUGUGUGUGUAUAUAUGUUUUUUUUGUUUUUGUUUUAGUAGGGACAGGUUUUGCCAUGUUGGCCAGGCUUCUCAAACUCCUGACCUCAGGUGAUCCACCCGCCUCGGCCUCACAAAGUGCUGGAAUUACAGGCGUGAGCCACCGUGCCCAGCCUCCUGGUCCCUUUUUAUAGGGACGAACUCACCUUAGUAGACUUUCCAGAUUCCAAGAAGCUAUUGCAAAGGUUGAGUCCUCAAUAGGAACUCCAUACGUGGAUACAUGGGAAGGCUCUGUCUCCCUGAGGAAAAACCAGAUGGAGUUGUCCAUUUCUGCAGAGUGACCUGAAAGCACAUAGCACCACGUAUGAUUAAUGACUUUGUGUAGCAGCUCACUGCCCCAGUAAACAAGGCCAGCCCAGUCACAUUGCCUGGGAAGAAGCACUGUGUGCUCUUCCUCAACCCUAGACCUCGUCUUAACAGGUCUACAGAUAACAGAUGGGGGUGUGGUGCCUUGGGAAAUACAGGAGCAAGGGGAAGGAGAAGAAAUGAACAUUCACUUAACAUUUCUCAUGUGCCAAGCAGUGUGUUGGGCACGUUCAUGAUGAUAAUGAUGAAAACAGUGACAGCUAACACUUACUGAUUGUUUGCCUUGGCGCCAAGCACUGUUCAUGUAUGGUAUUUUUUUUUCUAUUUAGUCAUCACAACCACCAUAUGAAGUGGGUACUAUUGUUUGCUAUGUUUUACAAGUGAGGAAAUCAGGGCAGAGAUUAAAUGAGUUGCCUAGGGUCACACAAUUAUGUAGUAGUAUAUAUCUAAGGUGGGACUUGAAAAAUGUUCCUGAGCCCACAGUUCCAGACUCCGUGCUACUACUCUCUGAUACUGUCGCAGCCACUUUCCCCUCCCUGGUCCUGUCAUGCAGAGGGGCAAGACUACAGAGUUCUUUCUCUGAUAGUUCUCAUGGAUUUCUGUCUUCACUUUAUUGGGUGAGUGGCUUAUGGGAAGCACUGAGCGAGAAUUAGGAGACCUGGGUUCUUAUCCUACCCACGGUCUGACCUUGGACCUCAGAUCUAACCCUCACAUUCUUCAUCUGUAAAAUGGAGAUACUAACAUCUACCAGGGUAUUAUGAGGAUCAGAUGAAUAAAUUGCUAGGAAAGUGUUUAUGUAAAUGCUGAGAGUUACCCUGUUGCAUCUGUACCUACUUCUUUGCUUUUCAGAAUAUCUUCUUUCCUGUUACCUUCCCUGACCCUGAUUCCUUUUGUCCUUUAUUAUGAUUUAUGACAUUUUUAUCACUUAAAAGUCUGUGAUAAUCAUGCUUAAGGCAGGAGGCCACUGAAAUUCUUACAUAAAUAAUUCCACCUACCUGAGCCAAAUGGAGGGGGUGAAGUGGGGUGGUGUGUAGCAGAUUUAGCAGCUGCUGAAGCUAUAACCAAGAGAAGUCUCCUUGUCAGUCACAGGAAUGAAUCAUUCAAAUGGCUGCCUUGCUGGGUCCUUCCCAGAGCCAGAAGGUAAAUUAGGGAGCAAUGUUGCUUUCAUUACUCAUUAAGCUUAAAAUGAAGCUCUGCCUCUUUGAAAUGUAGCAAGGAUUUCUGUUUGAAAGAGCAUGGGUUCGGGAGUCAGACUGACCUGAGUUCAUUCAAUUCCCAGUAUUGCCACUUAGUAGCUGAAUGACCUUGGGCAAGUCAUCUUACCUAACUGGGCCUCAGUUUCCUCCUCUGUACAUGCAUCCCAAGGUUAUUGUGCAGCACAGAUGAGAUCAUGGGUAUAAAGGGCCCGGCAUGGUACCACACACUCAUUAGACUCUCAGCAGUUUUUACUUUGCUGUGUCUCCAAGCUGUGGGAAUGAACACCUUAGGGAGGUAGAUUUGAUGGGGAGUGAAACAACCUGGUUUCCAGAGUGCAAAAGCAGAGAACUCAGUAAUAGACAUUUGAAUCACAGGUCUAUUUUUAGUUCAAUCCAGCCUAAGAUUUCAAAAUGUGGGUUCUUCCUUGUGUCCCUUCAUCCUUUCUGUGUAAGCAGUGGGGGUGGGGUUGUCCAGCUUCUCUGAAGGCACGUACUCCUGCCAUUUCAGUCAUAUCUUUUUCCUCAUUAGUGUCCAGCACAGUCACCUUGGAUACAUCAGCUUAAAAAUCUGCAAUAAUGCAUGAAUGCAAGUGUUUUACUCUAGUCUUCAGCAAGAUUCUGUCACUGCCACGCCAGCCUUUAACUCUCCAACUUUUAAAACUUCGGAGAAAUUUCAUCCAUAACCCUCAUCCAUGUUUCUAGUAUGGCUGACUUCAUGACUUUGGGGAGCACAGCAGUAAAUACUUUUCUACCAGGUCCUGUCUGUCCCUUGCCUUCUCAAAAUGCACAUAUCCCCACACAGGGCCCCACAGUCACAGAGCAGCCUCAUGUGCGGGGGCUCUAUAGAGCAUCCUUGUACUCAUGUGUCUUACAGAAGAGGGAUGCAAACUACUAGAUACACAGGAGACACAUAAUAAUUAAUGUUUCUUCAUUUCUUCCUUGCAACAGCUCUCUGGUAAGUAGGAAUGUGGUUUCAAGGUUAAGGGCACUGCAUUUCAAAUCAAGGGGACCAAGGUUUGAAUCCUAACUCUGUAACUUAACAGUUAUAUGACCUGGUACAAAUUAUUGAACUCCUCUGAGCAUAGGUUUCCUCUUCUGUCAGCUGGAGAUAAUAGCACCCGUCUCACAGGACUGUAAGGAGGAGUGAAAGAAUACAUGCAAAGCCCUCAGCACAGGGCCAGCACACGGUACAGAUAUAUACAUAGUAAUUGUGACAGUUUCACAGCAGAGGAAAUACUGCCCUAGGGAGGUUAGCUAAUUUAUCUAAGGUAGGUAUCAUCCCUAUUUUAUGUAAAAGGACAUCGAGGCUGAGUCAAGCAUGUUGUCCAAUGUUAUAUAGUGAAUAAGCAGCAGAAUGUGAACUACAACCCAGGUCUCCUGACACCUCAGCCAGGUCUCCUAACAUUUCACCAGAAACCUCUGGAAAACUGAAAUAAAUGUCCCCCAGCCCAUUUACAAUUGCCCCCCUGGUGGUGGAAUCCAAGCCCAGCUUCCCUUUUGCUGAAUCCUGCUUUCUAGAAAUAGGCUGCCAGUGAAAGAUGUGUGCAAGUGUAUAUAGAAAUGCAUACAUAUAUGUGAUAGAGUGGGAAAAUAUCCCAGGGAGCCAUGAUUACCAGAGUACUCCAAGAAUGCAGUAUUUUGGUUAAUGGAUUUUUCUCAGAGUAUUAACCUCUUGGUUUCAGGCCUUAUUGAAAGUCAUUAUGAAAUGCAUUGCAAACAUUCACUCUCUGAUGCUAGAAGGAGCUGUCUAGUGAGCGUAAUUAAAUUCUCUUUAAGUGACAGAGGAUCUUGGCAGGAUGUCCAUUUAUCACCAGAAUGAUCAGUUGUGCUGUUCAGGACUCUAAUAACAACCCAUAUGUCUGUCUGGGUCUUUUACACUCAUUAUAACAUUUAAUCAUUGCAACAGCCCUGUAUGUGUACGUGUGUGUUGGGAGUAAAGGGCAGGAUGGGAAGAUGAUUAUCCCCAUGUUGUUACUGAGGAGGCUAGGAUUUGGAGAGCAUGAAUGUCCUGUUAGGCAUCUGCUAUGGUUUGAAUAUGCUCCUCAAAAAUUCCUGUGUUAGAAACUUGGUCCCCAGUGUAACAGUGCUGGGAGUGGGGCCUUUGGAAGCUGAUUGGGUCAUGGGGGAUCAACCCUUAUGAAUGGAUUUAUGUCAUUAUUGUGGGAGUAGGUUAGUUAUUGCUGGAGUGGCUUUGUUAAAAAUAUAAGCUCUCUCUCGCAUGUGUUCUCUUCUCCUUCCACCUGUCCACCCUAGCAUGACCCUCACUAGAUACCAGCACCAUGCUCUUGGACUUUCCAGCCUCCAGAACUGUGAGCCAAAUCAACUUCUUUAUAAAUUAUCCAGCCUGUGGUAUUCGGUUAUAGCAACAGAAAAAAAGACCAGGAGAAGAUCAUGUAUCUUGAAAGUAACAGAGAUAGAACUGAAAUGACAUUUGCUGAGACAUAAUAUAGUAAAGCAGAAAAAAACAUAGAUUUUUGAGUAAGACAUACUUGAGUUUAAAUCCUGAUUUUGCCACUUACUGAUGGUAUUGACCGUGAAUAAAUUAAUCUCUCAGGUCCUAAGAUUCCUCAUCUGUAAAAUGGGUCAAAUAAUAUUUCCCUUGCUGGGGGUAAUUUUAAGGAUUCUAAAUAAUGUAUAUAAAGCAACCAGCAUUGUGCCUGGUCAGAGUAGGUCCUCAGCACAUGGAAGCUAUUAUUAUUCUGUCUCCUGGUCCUGUGCUCUUUCCAGUCUACCAAGAUGUCUACUACUGUAGAUAUAGAAGGUACAAGGGAUUGGCCUUACCUGUCUUCAGCCCAUCAAAUGCUAGAAGUCUUUUCAUUAGCCUCAAGGGUGGGGUUGGGGGGGUUGUUUUAUCCCUUUCUAAUAACAGAAGCUGGAGGCAGCUUUUAUUGUAUAGGUAAAACUUAAAUAAUUUUAUAUCAAUACCAGAGCUGCUGCAAAGCAAUAAAGUAAGUAUCACGUAUGACUCUUGUUGAUAGUAAGUGCCCAGAGUCAGGAAAUGCUUUUUGGAUUUUAAAAAUAUGCAUAGAAUUUGACUAGGAGAACAAGAGAUACUUCAUGUAGGAUCAACGGUGUGGAGGUAAGACAAUGUAAGAUUUGCUCAGCUUGGCUAGAACAAAAAUUGUCAUUGGUAGGGGAGCAUACAUGAUAAGGAUGGAAAAAUAGACUCGUAUAUAGAGCUUCACAUGUGCAUGUAAACACACACAUGUUACUCACAUCUCCUAUGCAUGUACAUUGCCAACCUAAAAUACUUAGAAUUGAUUGGAAGCAUUGGGUGAAUAGAUAUUAUUUCAUCUCUCUAUGAUUUGUAGAAAAGCAAUGUGGUCAGAAGAAAGAGAGCUAGAGUGGGGGUUGGGAGACCCAGAUGUUGCUCUUGGUACCGCCCCAUUCGACUGUAUAAUCUGGACAAGACAUGGAACCUCUUUGGGCCUUAUCUCCUCAUUUAUAAAAACAUCUGUGCCACUUUUGGAAAAUCCUUUGGAGCUAUUAUCAAGAGCCUUGAAGAUGUCCAUUCACUUUCAUUUAUUAAUUCAUAUCCUAGCAUUCUUCUCUAAGGAAAGAUCUUAAAUAUGGAAAAAAACUUUAUGGUUAAAGAUGUUCAUCAUAGUCUUUUUAUAAUUUAGUAAAAUUAGGAGCUACCUAAUUUUACUAACAUUUGGUAAUGGAUAAAAGAUGACCUAUCUGCUUCACUAAUUUGUAGUGUUUAUUAAGUAAGAAUUGCAGCAUUGGUCAUGUAAAAAUGAAAACAAAAAGGCACAUAUGAAAAAUAUACUGGGAAAUAUACUUUCCAGUGUAGGAAGCAUUGUUGAUGUUAUCCACACCCUUCAUGAUCCAGACCCAGAUGUUCACACCAGCUGUCUUUGUGCCACCACUAUUUACUGUAUAUGGUGACCUCACUAUGGUGACCUUAGGACAUUUUCCUAACAAAUACCUUUCAUCCCUGUAUGCUUUUGUAUGUCUGGUUCAUUCCUCCUGAAAUUCCCUUUACUCCCUUGUCUCGCCAUGAAUAUCUGCUCUUCUUCUAGUCCAGCUCUGCAAAUUUCCCUGACUUCCUAGGUGGAAUCAGUUGCUCCUUCAUCCUUCUUUCUAUAAAAUUUGUAACUUGGCUCUAACACAUAUGUCCUCUGUUACAGUCUUCUUGUUUGUUUCCAUCUCUGCACAUAGACUGGGCCUUCCUUAGGGUCAGAAUUGUGUUAUCAACAAAUCCCUAGGAUUCAGCAAAGGGCCUGGCAUUUAAUAAUCACUCAAUAUAUGAUUGAAUUUUUACUUUUUUAUUUUGAUUUUUUGCUUUUCCAUGUUUUCUGCAUAUUUUAUAAUGACUAUGCAUUGUGCUUAUAAUGGAAGAAAAAUAGUAGUAAUUCAUUUACUCAUUUACUUUAACAAGGUGACUGACCUAGUUCAGAGGUUCUCAAACUUGGCAGUUCAUCAGAAUCACCUGGAGAGCUUAUUAAAUUGCAGAUACCCUGGCCCCUAGACAGACUUCUUGAGUCCCAGUCUCCCGGAUAAGGACCUGGAAUCAGUAUUAUUAACAGGCUACCAGUUAUUGGGAUGCUCAGCCAUGUCUGAGAACCUUUGACCUCAGUACUGCUAAAGCCCUUUCAGCUUAAAAUCUUCCUAAUUCUUUGAUUGGCCUUCUGUCCCUUGCUCCCCCUGCUAUGAGAGGCUUUAGCUGGAGGGCAUGUGGAGCAACAGGCCAUACAAUGGAGAAUACCUGUACUAGCUUCAUUAUUGGGCUCCUCUUCUGUGCCAAAGACUGCUUUGUAAAUAGCGUUUUAAAAUAUCUAUACAAUCAUACUUUAAGGUCAGUUUUAUUUUCUCCAUUUUACAGAUGAGAAAACUGAGGCAAAGAGAAGUUGUGACUUUCCCAAGGUCAAAUAAGAAAGCAUUGGAUGCUGUGUUUCAAUUCAGUUCUGUCAGACUUCAAAACUGGAUCUAGAAUUUCCCUCACUGCCCCUCCCUGUCCCCCUUCCCCCCAAAUAAAGGAACCCCAGCAGGGUCACGUACAGCCCUGCUGAGUGCA